rnacentral:rRNA from 1 species
AACGAACGCUGGCGGCAGGCCUAACACAUGCAAGUCGAGCGAGAUCUUCGGGUCUAGCGGCGGACGGGUGAGUAACGCGUGGGAAUAUGCCCUUUGGUACGGAAUAGCCUCGGGAAACUGAGAGUAAUACCGUAUGUGCCCUUCGGGGAAAGAUUUAUCGCCAAAGGAUUAGCCCGCAUUGGGUUAGGUAGUUGGUGGGGUAAUGGCCUACCAAGCCUACGAUCCAUAGCUGGUUUGAGGGGAUGAUCAGCCACACUGGGACUGAGACACGGCCCAG